CGUACACAUUAUCUGUACUUUUUUUUGGAAAAUUUUUUUCUCGUAAAAAUCUCUCUAUACAAGUAUAUAUAUGAAUUUAUAUAUGUAUCUCUAUGUAUUGAUUGAAUAAUCAUCCUUAUCUGGACCUAUUCCAGACAGUGGCUCGUUUUCACUAUUCACUCCCAUCAGGUUUCUUGUUAGAGAGAUUGUUGUUCUGUAGUGUCCUUGAAUGAUUGAUGUAAAAUGCUAUGCUAAUUUUUUGUGUACCUUCUGCAGUUUUGCUAGUAACAUAAAUCUAUGUGGACCGGUUACUGGGAAACCCUGCCCUGGAUCUCCACCAUUUGCCCCUUCUCCAUUUGUUCCACCAUCAACAAUCUCUUCUCCAAGUACCCAAAGGAUGGGACAAGCUUUAUGUCUCUCUUCUCUCCACAUAAACGGGGAAAACUGUCAGCAAAUCAAGAAAAGCAUCAGUACGGAAUGGGACGUGUCGAUGGACAGAGACUUUGUCAGAGUCUGUCUAGAUUUCACAAGAUGAAGCUCCAAAGGAAUUUGAGCAAUACUUAUUCAAGCUAGUCAUUUCGAUGGUGCACUGUGGAAUGAGGGGCAGUCUUCAACCUCCUUGUAAUGCUGUUGGUUUUAUUUAGCAUGCUUUUGCAGCCUAAAUUGCUUCUCAAGUGUAUUUAUUAAAUUCGUUUCAGG